rfam:Tenacibaculum dicentrarchi strain AY7486TD, complete genome.
AAUUUGCGUUAGGGAUUGCAGCGGCAUCCUUUUUAUAAAAUUUUUCUUUUAUAAAAAGAUAUAGCGGAAAGCCCGACCUUUA